GGCUGGGUGGCGCAAUGGCAGGUAUGGCCCUCCUCGCUCCCCACAUCGACAAGCUUUCUCUAACCCUGACAGCGCGUCACUUUCCGGUGGUGAAGGUUGCGUGUUCGAGUCACGCCUCAGUCG
rnacentral:tRNA from 1 species